rnacentral:lncRNA from 1 species
AAUCAAUGUUAUAUCUUUAUUAAAUAAUCGGAGUUUCUUUACAAAAUAACUAAAUAAGAUACACCACAUGUUAACGACGAUCCUCCACACCAACAUAGUUGACUGGGAGACGACGGCCUAGACCUCUCCGAACUCAUCUUCAUCAUGAUCCUCCUCUUCUGGAUGCACCUGUUCUUAACCUGGUGUGAUUAUAGCAAGGGUGAGCUCCCAUACGGUCAUCGCUCAGCAAGUGUGGGGAAUAAUGUGUAUGAGCUCACUUACGGUGGGGGCUCAUGUGUAGUAUAAGGCUGAUCAACAAAAAAUGGUUAAGGCUGAGCAUUGCUUUUAAUAAGUUGGUCAAAAUUUUAUUAGCGGUUACCAAGUAUAAGUGUAUACCAACCUAAUUAAAUAAUUGAUCAUAAUGAAUAAUAAAUCUCACAAUGCAAUGCAUGACAUGUUAAGUUUAAUUCCAUAAGUUAAUCAUGCGAGAGUCCUGAGCCGCUCCUGACCGUGAGCACGGCUGAUAUACCAGUUUUACACUCUGCAGAGGUUGCGCAUCUUUACCCACAAGACGUGUUUCCCGUGUAGCCAGGGUUAGCUAGACCCUUAGACACUUUUAAGGUGAAUGGCUAGGGAUCCACUGCGAGGCCUUUACAAAGUUCCACUAGCAUGAGAAAACCCGCUAUGGUUUCAGGACGAAGGAAGCAUAGCGCCUUGUUCCACGGUCUGUAACCCCAUCGCAGUAAUUACAGCCAGCACUAUACUCUGCAGCGACGCCUCCCCGCUUGCCCCUUUCGAGAAAGGAUUAUCCCACACUAGCUUUCCUAAUUAAUUAGCCAAGGGCGUCCCAUUAAACCCUUGUGGUAGCACUGUUUUCUCAGGUUAAGCUCCAUGUUCCAAUUAAACAUUGUGAUCUUAUUAUGCACAAUAAUAAAUAAUCCUGCAAUAUAUCAUAAUGAAACAUGAUCAUAAUUCAUAAGUAUUAUUAAUCCCAAAACCAGGUAGAGCAAUAACAAGACUACCCAAUAAUUCAUUUGUAUGCAAAGUGUAGGGUAAACAAAACUAGGUAACCUAUUAGGUCCCAUCAGCUUAACCUAACAGUGCAGCAGUGAGAAUAGAUUCAUAAAUAUUAUUAGGUCAAAGAAUGUGAUCAAGGACACAACUUGCCUUUUUGGUGCAAAUCCAGGAACUUCUCCAAUUUGAUCUUCGGGUUCCUCGUAACCUCGCUUCUAUUCGCAGCAAAACAUAUAUAUAGGCAAACAAUGAAUAAAAAUAACAUUACACCAAACAUGUAAACAAACUACGUAGGAAUAUUCUACGCGUCGCUACAAGAUCGUAGGUUCAAGAACCACUAAAAACGGAAUUAAAACGAAUAAGAUAUGAAUUUUCUAAGAUUCUGGAAUUAUUUUUGUACUAGAAAUUCAUUUUAGAUUUAAUUUCUGUAAUUUUCUAAUCCUGUGGAUAGCGGGUAUCAUUUUUAAAGAGUUCGGGGUUAAUUCCAAAAGAAUCAGGACCUAACCGUAAAUACUUUUGCAUACUACCGGACUGUGGGUUUAUUCCUGAGAAACUAAGGGUCUCUUAUGCAAAACGCCACAGCCGAAAGGGGUAUUAGCGCACGCGAGCCAUCCGAUCCUGAAACGGCGUCCAAGAUUAGAUCGGAUACCCGUAUGAACCGGUACAAAAUGGAGACCAUCGGAUCACAGAUCCACGGCUACUGAGACGCCCACGUCCAGAUCAAUCUCGAGCCGCACGAUACGUGCUCGACGGCUCGGAUUUUAAGUUUCGAAAGGGUAUCGGCCAGAUCUAAUCCGAACCGCUUGUUAGCCGAUCAACGGCCACGGCCGUCCUCCCUCAUCCAAGCUCCCCCAGGCGGUGGCGCUGGCUCUCCCGCGGCGGCGCUAUUGCCGGCGAGGCAGCGCCCUGGCACCCCAGUUCUUCUCUAGCUACACCGAAUGGCUCUACUCGAGGUAUAGGACAAGGCAAACAAGAGAGGGGAGUCUCACCGAGGGUGGCGGUGGACGCAGUGCUGUCCACGGUGCGACGCAGAUCUUCCGUUGAGUUUGUAUUCCGGCGAGCAAUCGCCAGUGACCUGAGGCCCUAUCUCGCCCACCAACGCCACGGAAAGUUUGCACGCGCACCGGCGAUCAUCCUCGACCACACCAUACGCACAGAACGACGAUGGAGGAGCGGGACCACGGCGGCGCCAUCUCUUAUCCCUCCUCUCUCGGCUCCGAUCUCUCUCUCUCGCUUGCUGCGCCCUAGGAUACACUGGGUAUUGUCACGAGUUGGUGGAGGGGGCUGCUCCAGGGUUCUCCAUAUAUACCCAUGGUCCAUGGGCGAAUCCUUCAGUUACGAUUCGAUCGGUAGAGAAGCUUGCAGACUCCGUUCAUAACGAACACGCGGAGGAUACGAGGUCGACGGCCGACCCGACAGCAUGGCCCCACAUGGCGGUGGUUGAACGACACAUGGCGCUGGCCGGUGGUCCCCAUGAGUCAAUCUCACACGGUGAGAUCGAGCGCUUCGCGGGACGCGCUCCUGAGGUUGGUACACGGCGUGGAGCGAGGCUGAGCAGCAGGGACCACAGGUCAGUGGCCAAAUAAACGCGCGCGCAAGGUUGGCUGGGCCAGGAGGCUGAAGGGGAAAUGGUGUUGGGCUGGCGACGGUUUCGGCCCAGGCUAAGGAGAGCUUCUCUAUUCUUUUUUUUUUUUCUAUUUCUUUGUUUUCUCUUUCCAUUUUGGUUUACAAAUUUUCAAUUUCGAAUUUAAGUCAAAGUCUCACAUCAAAUUAAAUGCAUCAAUCAAAAGUAAAACUCCAGCAUGGAUGCAAGGUAAAUUUUAUUAUUUACUUUAUUUAUUAGAGUAAAUGCUUCAAUUUAUGCAAGGCACACAUUAUUUACUAUAAGAGAAAUAAUUCCUUAUCCUCUAUAUUUAUUCAUAGAAUUUUGGGUAUUACAAAUCCUACCCCCCUUAAAAAUAAUCUCGUCCUCGAGAUUACUAAGAAAAUGGAUGCAGUUAGUUCGGUUUGCUUUUUUUUAUGCUUUUAGUUUCUAAUUGGUUCUAAUACCAUUUUUUUGUUCAAAGUCUUUAGUGGGUAUCUUCUAUGUCUGACCACCAAAGAGGCAGGAAGAGAUGGUUAGAGCAAGGGUAGGUUGGGGUAAGAAAGGUUUAGGCAAAGAAAGACUACAUUCCAGAUGAUGGAUCUUGACUUGGCUGAAGAUCUGGUCUGACUCUUAUCCUUCGUUGACGAGGUUGGUCUUCUCUUCUCGGGUCUUGGUGUCUCCAUCCGAGCUAGGGACAUAUGGCUAAGAUAUCUGUGAGUAGGAUAGACUACAUUAAGUAGGUCGAGAUCUGGUUUGAUGUCAGGUUGGAAUGGAUGGUCAUCAUGAACAUGUUGGUUAGGUCGUUUGUUCAUGGCCGAGUUGGUCUAAGGCACCAAUUUAGGUUUAAGUGAAUUAGGCGAGAAAAGAGUUUCUAGGUGUAGAUUUUAAUCUAUUAACCAAUUUGGGUUAAUUCGCUCUACCCUUUAGAUCGGUGCAAGAAAUAUGAGCCAAUUAGACUAGGUCUUAUUAGAUUAGAUCUGAUUAGUUUUGAUUAGAUCAGACUAGUAUUAGGCAAGAUUAGAUUUAUCCACAUUAGUUUAGACUAUAUUACAUUAGGUUUAGAUGGGAUCUAGAUUAGAAUGGAUUAGGUCAUGGUUGUUACUCUAGGGUAGGAUAAGUAUGCUUAUCAGGAGAAGAUGAAUACAUUAGGAUAAGAUAGAAUCUUUUUAAGAUGAGAUGAACCUAUUAAGCUAGAUAUAUAUUUUAAUGGGGGAUAAUCUAGGUUGUCUAGUUAUCUUAUAAACAUAUUUUAUGCCUAUAUACGCAGAUGCAGUUGCGGACAUUACUCCACAACUCAUCUCACUCAAUCAAAGAACCAAAUCAAAGCAUUUAGCAUAAUGACAAGCAUUCAAGCGCAUAAAUAACUAUAAAAAUAGUUUUUUUUAAUUCCUAGGAUUAGGUGUCCUAUUCCUAAGGAUCACUUUAGGUAUAGGAUUCCAAGGUGUGAAAUCCUUUUUGUCUUUAGAGUGGAAAAGGUAAGAGUAGUCAGAGUAAAGCAGCAAUAGAUGAGAAAAGAUCAAGGAAAGUUUAGAAAGAAUCGGAGUAAAGGUAAGUAGGUAAAGGUUUUGUCCAGGUCUAUCUAGGUUACGUCCUACAGUCAAUAUUGCUCCGAUACCACUUCUGUCACACCCGGAUUUAAGGGCAAACCCGGGCACGUCUCAGAUGUGUGCUAGGAUCAAGUCUCACACAUAUGAUUACUCAUGGUACAGAAAUCAAUGUCAUAUCUUUAUUAAAUAAUCGGAGUUUCUUUACAAAAUAACUAAAUAAGAUACACCACAUGUUAACGACGAUCCUCCACACCAACAUAGUUGACUGGGAGACGAUGGCCUAGACCUCUCCGAACUCAUCUUCAUCAUGAUCCUCCUCUUCUGGAUGCACCUGUUCUUAACCUGGUGUGAUUAUAGCAAGGGUGAGCUCCCAUACGGUCAUCGCUCAGCAAGUGUGGGGAAUAAUGUGUAUGAGCUCACUUACGGUGGGGGCUCAUGUGUAGUGUAAGGCUGAUCAACAAAAAAUGGUUAAGGCUGAGCAUUGCUUUUAAUAAGUUGGUCAAAAUUUUAUUAGCGGUUACCAAGUAUA